AAUCUCAUUGCCCUGGCCGUCCUCUGCUCCCUCCAGGCCCAAAUCUUGCCCGCGCUGCGUCGCCCACACCUGGCCACUACACACUCGUGCCUCCCCGGGCAACCUAGUGUCGAGACUGAGGAACACAGCAGUUGAAGCUUCAAGACGGAGGAACACAUCUGCUGCAGCCAUAGCCUCCGCCGGUGGAGCGAGCAACUAGGAGCAAUCCAGCGUCUGCACCACUCCGAUUUGUGCCCUUUGUUGCAUAUCCAUCAUUCUCCCUCGGUGAAAGUAUUGUGUAGCUGGCUCACUAAACCCAACGAGUUGUAGAUUGCUGCAUCGAAGUCGUCGUCUUCUCAUUGCUUGUACGCAACAGAUUCAAGUACUACAGGACCAACUCCCCGAGAGGUUGCUACCCCAGGGCUCAAAGCGCUCAUGUCAACAAGGAUGCAAAUGGAAAUUUGGGCUCGACAACAAGCUGAAAAUAAGAACAGAACUCUCAAGCAACGCAUUGCAGAAUUGGAAGAGGAAAGGAAGGCACAAGGAAGGACAAAUGCUGAAGGGACAAAUGUUGAAGUCCUGUCACAACAUGCCUCUAAUUCAUGACAGUGUGUGAGUCCGACACCUGAAGGAUCUAUCGGUGAGGCACAUAAUGCUCCUCGGCAUGAAGAAUACGAUAAUUAUGUAGAGGAUCAAGACUAUAAUCAUCAGUAUGACGAGGAAGAUGAGAACGUGCUCCCCCAUAGGCAUGUUGUAGCUCGAUCAGCUAUGAACAUUACAACAACAACAAAUGUUGAAAUGCAAGAGUGUUUGCCCCCCUUCUAGGCCUAUUGUAGCCCAAUCAGCUAGGAAUAUCACUACUGCACCAAGUGAUAUCCAACAACCUUACUUUGCAAAUGAUACACAUGCUGCAAUUGAACAGAGCAUGCUGCCCCCUAGGCUUACUACAUCCCGAUCAUCUAUUAACAUGAGUAUUGCACCAACAAAUGAUAUCCUUCCUCGUUUUGCAAAUGAUACACAUGCUGGAACUGAUGAGAGCUUGCUCCCCUAUAGACCAGAUGCAACCCAUUCACCAAUAAAAAAGAGAACUACGGCAACAAAGCAUGCCCCUCCUCGCUUUUCUCAUAGUGACCUUGUUGGAAAGGAUGUCAUAUUAUUUACUAUAUUGAGAUAUGAAUUACCUGCGGCUAGGGGAACAGUCAUUUCAAUUAACCCAAACACCAUGGUAGGAGGCCAGCCUCUUGGGAAUGAAUAUUGUGAAGUAGCUGUUACUGUUGUGAUGAAAAGGAUGCUACAUUGCCUCGGAGUUAUGGGGACAUGAAGACUAUGGCUAGUGCUCUCAAGAUGAGCAUUGCAUGGCCAUACAAUAAAAUAAAGGAAUGCAGGAAAAAGGAGUGCAAGAGGGCAUCCAGUACCCCUCUCAAGAACAUUGCAGGAUGUGUUGGGCAGUCUUUGACUUGAGUUUCUGGAAAAUGGUUCUCCACAUACCCUGUGGAUGUGCUUUUGGUUUUUAGUUCCUAAAAAUGAUCGCGUGCACAAAACUUAGUAUAUCAAGCCUAACAAUUAUAUUGCUUGCUGGGUGUGCAUUCAUGUAAGCUUUUGGUGGGUGACAAUAUUGCAUGAUCGAUGUAAUGUGUGACUUUGUUGGAUGAUCUUAUGGUGGUGUUUAGUUGCCAAAAUUUUUGGAUACGAAUAAAAAAAUGAAUUUCAAACGUUUG